rfam:Pteropus alecto contig4599, whole genome shotgun sequence.
GGCUCCAUGGUGCAGUGGUGAGCACAUCUGCUUCACACGCAGGAGGUCCUGGGUUCGCGCCCCAGUGAAGCCA